UGAGGAAUAUUGGUCAAUGGGCGCAAGCCUGAACCAGCCAUCCCGCGUGCAGGAAGACGGCGCUAUGCGUUGUAAACUGCUUUUCCAGGGAGAGAAACUUGCGCGCGUGUUGCGCAAUUGACGGUUCCCUGGGAAUAAGCAUCGGCUAACUCCGUGCCAGCAGCCGCGGUAAUACGGAGGAUGCGAGCGUUAUCCGGAUUCAUUGGGUUUAAAGGGUGCGUAGGCGGACUAUUAAGUCAGUGGUGAAAUCCUGCAGCUUAACUGCAGAACUGCCAUUGAUACAGAUAGCCUUGAGUUUGGUUAAGGUAGGCGGAAUGUGUAAUGUAGCGGUGAAAUGCUUAGAUAUUACACAGAACACCAAUUGCGCAGGCAGCUUACUGAGCCGACACUGACGCUGAGGCACGAAAGCGUGGGGAUCGAACAG
rnacentral:rRNA from 1 species